AUAGAUUAAGUUAUUAAGGGCGCACGGUGGAUGCCUUGGCACUAGAAGCCGAUGAAGGACGUUACUAACGACGAUAUGCUUUGGGGAGCUGUAAGUAAGCUGUGAUCCAGAGAUUUCCGAAUGGGGGAACCCAAUACGAGUUAUGUCGUAUUAUCGAUACGUAAAUACAUAGCGUAUCGAAGGUAGACGCGGAGAACUGAAACAUCUUAGUACCCGCAGGAAGAGAAAGAAAAAUCGAUUCCCUGAGUAGCGGCGAGCGAAACGGGAAGAGCCCAAACCAACGAGCUUGCUUGUUGGGGUUGUAGGACACUCUAUACGGAGUUACAAAGGAAUAGAUUAGACGAAGCAUCUGGAAAGAUG
rnacentral:rRNA from 1 species